rnacentral:rRNA from 1 species
AUUGAACGCUGGCGGCAUGCCUUACACAUGCAAGUCGAACGGUAACGCGGGGCAACCUGGCGACGAGUGGCGAACGGGUGAGUAAUGUAUCGGAACGUGCCCAGUUGUGGGGGAUAACUGCUCGAAAGAGCAGCUAAUACCGCAUACGACCUGAGGGUGAAAGCGGGGGAUCGCAAGACCUCGCGCAAUUGGAGCGGCCGAUAUCAGAUUAGGUAGUUGGUGAGGUAAAGGCUCACCAAGCCGACGAUCUGUAGCUGGUCUGCGAGGACGACCGGCCACACUGGGACUGAGACACGGCCCAGACUCCGACGGGAGGCAGCAGUGGGGAAUUUUGGACAAUGGACGCAAGUCUGAUCCAGCCAUGCCGCGUGCGGGAAGAAGGCCUUAGGGUUGUAAACCGCUUUUGUCAGGGAAGAAACGCUCUGGGUUAAUACCCCGGGGUAAUGACGGUACCUGAAGAAUAAGCACCGGCUAACUACGUGCCAGCAGCCGCAGUAAAAC